rnacentral:rRNA from 1 species
CCUGGCUCAGGAUGAACGCUAGCUACAGGCUUAACACAUGCAAGUCGAGGGGCAGCAUUUCAGUUUGCUUGCAAACUGGAGAUGGCGACCGGCGCACGGGUGAGUAACACGUAUCCAACCUGCCGAUAACUCGGGGAUAGCCUUUCGAAAGAAAGAUUAAUACCCGAUGGCAUAAUUAGACCGCAUGGUCUUAUUAUUAAAGAAUUUCGGUUAUCGAUGGGGAUGCGUUCCAUUAGGCAGUUGGUGAGGUAACGGCUCACCAAACCUUCGAUGGAUAGGGGUUCUGAGAGGAAGGUCCCCCACAUUGGAACUGAGACACGGUCCAAACUCCUACGGGAGGCAGCAGUGAGGAAUAUUGGUCAAUGGACGAGAGUCUGAACCAGCCAAGUAGCGUGAAGGAUGACUGCCCUAUGGGUUGUAAACUUCUUUUAUAUGGGAAUAAAGUUUUCCACGUGUGGAAUUUUGUAUGUACCAUAUGAAUAAGGAUCGGCUAACUCCGUGCCAGCAGCCGCGGUAAUACGGAGGAUCCGAGCGUUAUCCGGAUUUAUUGGGUUUAAAGGGAGCGUAGGUGGACAGUUAAGUCAGUUGUGAAAGUUUGCGGCUCAACCGUAAAAUUGCAGUUGAUACUGGCUGUCUUGAGUACAGUAGAGGUGGGCGGAAUUCGUGGUGUAGCGGUGAAAUGCUUAGAUAUCACGAAGAACUCCGAUUGCGAAGGCAGCUCACUGGACUGCAACUGACACUGAUGCUCGAAAGUGUGGGUAUCAAACAGGAUUAGAUACCCUGGUAGUCCACACAGUAAACGAUGAAUACUCGCUGUUUGCGAUAUACAGUAAGCGGCCAAGCGAAAGCAUUAAGUAUUCCACCUGGGGAGUACGCCGGCAACGGUGAAACUCAAAGGAAUUGACGGGGGCCCGCACAAGCGGAGGAACAUGUGGUUUAAUUCGAUGAUACGCGAGGAACCUUACCCGGGCUUAAAUUGCAUUUGAAUAUAUUGGAAACAGUAUAGCCGUAAGGCAAAUGUGAAGGUGCUGCAUGGUUGUCGUCAGCUCGUGCCGUGAGGUGUCGGCUUAAGUGCCAUAACGAGCGCAACCCUUAUCUUUAGUUACUAACAGGUCAUGCUGAGGACUCUAGAGAGACUGCCGUCGUAAGAUGUGAGGAAGGUGGGGAUGACGUCAAAUCAGCACGGCCCUUACGUCCGGGGCUACACACGUGUUACAAUGGGGGGUACAGAAGGCAGCUACCUGGUGACAGGAUGCUAAUCCCAAAAGCCUCUCUCAGUUCGGAUCGAAGUCUGCAACCCGACUUCGUGAAGCUGGAUUCGCUAGUAAUCGCGCAUCAGCCAUA